CAUAUCAAUAAGCGGAGGAAAAGAAACUAACAAGGAUUCCCCUAGUAACUGCGAGUGAAGCGGGAAAAGCUCAAAUUUAAAAUCUGGCAGUCUUUGGCUGUCCGAGUUGUAAUCUAGAGAAGUGUUAUCCACGCUGGACCGUGUACAAGUCUCCUGGAAUGGAGCGUCAUAGAGGGUGAGAAUCCCGUCUUUGACACGGACUGCCAGGGUUUUGUGAUGCGCUCUCAAAGAGUCGAGUUGUUUGGGAAUGCAGCUCAAAAUGGGUGGUAAAUUCCAUCUAAAGCUAAAUAUUGGCGAGAGACCGAUAGCGAACAAGUACCGUGAGGGAAAGAUGAAAAGAACUUUGGAAAGAGAGUUAAACAGUACGUGAAAUUGCUGAAAGGGAAACGCUUGAAGUCAGUCGCGUUGUCCAGGGAUCAACCUUGCUUUUGCUUGGUGCACUUUCUGGUUAACGGGUCAGCAUCAAUUUUGAUCAUUGGAAAAAAGUUGGGGGAAUGUGGCAUCUUCGGAUGUGUUAUAGCCCUUGGUUGUAUACAAUGGUUGGGAUUGAGGAACUCAGCACGCCGCAAGGCCGGGUUUUUAACCACGUACGUGCUUAGGAUGCUGGCAUAAUGGCUUUAAUCGACCCGUCUUGAAACACGGACCAAGGAGUCUAACAUACCUGCGAGUGUUUGGGUGGUAAACCCGAGCGCGUAAUGAAAGUGAAAGUUGAGAUCCCUGUCGCGGGGAGCAUCGACGCCCGGACCAGACCUUUUGUGACGGUUCUGCGGUAGAGCAUGUAUGUUGGGACCCGAAAGAUGGUGAACUAUGCCUGAAUAGGGUGAAGCCAGAGGAAACUCUGGUGGAGGCUCGUAGCGAUUCUGACGUGCAAAUCGAUCGUCAAAUUUGGGUAUAGGGGCGAAAGACUAAUCGAACCAUCUAGUAGCUGGUUCCUGCC
rnacentral:rRNA from 1 species